GGCAGUUCUCGGGUGAUGAACCCCAGAAUCGGGCUCCCUUCUCUCUGGUUCUGAGUGUGUCACCUGAGAACUGCC
rfam:Myotis lucifugus cont2.43907, whole genome shotgun sequence.